UUUCGUUUCUUUUGGGUACCUUUUCGGUU
rnacentral:piRNA from 1 species